rnacentral:rRNA from 1 species
UACGAAGGGUGCAAGCGUUUAAUCGGAAUUACUGGGCGUAAAGGGUGCGUAGGCGGUUCGUUAAGUCUGUCGUGAAAUCCCCGGGCUCAACCUGGGAAUGGCGAUGGAUACUGGCGAGCUAGAGUGUGUCAGAGGAUGGUGGAAUUCCCGGUGUAGCGGUGAAAUGCGUAGAGAUCGGCAGGAACACCCAGGGGGAAACCAGCCGACUGGGCAUCUACUGACGCUGAGGUGCGAGAGCGUGGGGAGCGAACCGG